rnacentral:misc_RNA from 1 species
GAUUAAUUAAUUGGGUACCACAAGUAGUAGUACUAGACAGUUAAAAGUCGUAAAACUGACAAAUAAGUAUUACUAGUACAAAAUGAACAGAAGGAAAGGAGAAUUUAACUUAACGUCCGUUUCUUAGAGGACUAACGGCAACAUCCUUGCAUGGACUUGGCGGCACACUACUUCUUCCGGUAGCAACAAGGCGUUGCACCAAACCCCCGAUUCUCUGUCCGUUAGUCUCCGUUAGUAACCGCUUACCGCCAAAUGGCAAUGACUCCACUCCUCUUUCUUCUAACGCCUCCUCAACUCCUGGUCCCACUCCUCCACUUGCAUACCCGGUCGCCUGAACUCUAACGUAGUCAUUGGGGUUCCAGCAGAAGGCGUUUCCGAGCAUUUGGUCAACGGUUUCAGAAACGCCGUCGAAGACGAUUCCGACGACGGAUAAUGGAGAGCAGUAGCCAUCAUUUCUCAUUUUUAAGUUUGCCGUUGAGUUUAACGGACCGUUACCUAGAGAGAGAACCAAUAGGUCAUCGACGCCGGUGACGGAAGGAAAAUCUCGUUUGUUGUGCAAAACGUGAGUGACGGCUGCAGCAGCGGGAUUGUUCAUGACGAGACCGCCGUCAACGGCGAGGCAAGAGGUUUUUCCGUCCACUGACUUGAGAUUAAACGGCUUGAACAUGGACGGAUUUGCUGACGUGGCACGGCAUACUUUCCAUAGAUCAAAGUCGUAACUGAAGGACUCGAUAGCAUCAGCUCUGGAGAAGACGAAAGGCGCAGCACUGUUGAGGUCAAAGCACGGUACAAGUAAAGGCUUACACGUGUCCCUCAAAGUUAACGCUUUGCCGUCUUCUCUUCUAAACACUUCCUUCAACACCUUCUCCAUGCUGUUCCCUGAAAACCUCUUCUUCCGACGGAGAACACCGACUUUCUUAGCCUUAAACAGCCUCGACUGAUUUUCCUUCACAAACUUCACGGCAUCCUUCGCUGUGAACAACGGACGGCCGUCACCUCCAUCAACCACAAGCAUUGCAGCGUAGAUAGCACCUAUACCAGUACCCACAACAAUGUCGAAGAAAUCAGAAAUUCUAACGUGAGGAUCACCCGUUUUAGCACAGAUCUGGUUUUCUAGAUGGAUCAAUGCAGCCCCGGAAACAAUGCCUGUAGUUCCACCACCAUCAAUACUGAGAACCCGAGUUUUCUUCCCUUCGUAGUGAUACAACCAUUUCUGCUCGAGCUUUGAGAAGAUUUCGAGCGAUAUCUUACUGAAGUCCAUCACUGAACAAACAGCCAAAGAAGCAAAUCAGAUCGAUGCUGGAAGUGAUGGAUAAACGUGAAAGAGGAAAAAAGCUCACGAUUUUCUGCGGAGAAGCAUUAAUUGCGAUGGAGAAAUUGCUGUGAGUAUUCCUUUUUUUUUUAUAAUUUAGUUAAUUUGUUGUGACUGACAGAAAUAUAAUCUGUGCAGUAUGCUCUCCCCACUGUCUGCCAAAUACAGAGAGAGAGUGAUGGAGAGUUAAAA